rnacentral:siRNA from 1 species
GCUAAUGAUAGAGUUGAAAG